GGCCCAGCUCAGAAAUCAGUGCUGAUCAAAUAAAGCACACAUUCCCUUUGGCACUAAAUUUGACUCGGCAGCGUCUGUGCAGGGAUCCUGGCAAAACCAGAACAUUCAGCCUUUAGAAUCACUGGGGAUUGGCUCACCGCUGUGUGGAAGCACAACUGUUAUUUCUGAAUGCCAUCCAUGUGGCUCAGCCACUGAGAUGAAGCACCAUUCAGAAGAAGCAAAUAUGUGCUCUAUGUUUCACCCAGUCUGAUUUGGCCAAGAUCACACAGAUAGGUUCUACAAAGAAAGCAUUAUUACCAUUAUCAUUGAAAUAUAAAUCUACUUUUGGAAAACAAGUGCCUUCUAAAUACACCAAUUGGAAAACAAACAAAGUGAAUUUAAGCUAUGGUCUUACUCUGUCAUCCAGACUGGAGUGCAAUGGCUCCAUCACAGCUCACUGCAGCCUCGACCUCCUGGGAUCAAGUAAUUGCCCUGCCUCAGCCUCCUGAGUAGCUGGGACUACAGGCAUGUGCCACCACACUUAGCUAAUUUUUGUAUGAUUUUAGAGGUGGGGUCUCCCUAUGUUGCCCAGGCUAGUCUCAAACAUCUAGUUUCAAGCAAUCCUCCUGCCUCAGCCUCCCAAAGUGCUGGGAUUAUGGGCAAGAGACACUGCACCUGGCCCUUGUCUGUUUUAUAUAGUGGGUUUCUACACAAGAUUGUGUGUAAAUGUGUUUUAUAGCAAAAAAAGUUUGACAAUUAGUAACAUUGACCCAACUGCUAAUUGACAGUGAAUAUUUCACUUCGGUGACUCUACUUGCUUGUUGACAAAGCUCCUAUUGAGCAGGGGCAGUGAUAUUGUCAAGUCCUGUUUUUUAUUUUGUGUGUGUGUGUACAAAUAUUUUUAAAUGCUUACCAAUGGUUCAAUACUGAAUAAAGCCUAUGUACUCCCAAUGAUUACUGUCUAAAGUAGCAUUAUGCAAAGUACUUAACUGAGCUUCCACCCUAUAAUUCUAAAAGUUAAGCAAAAAUGCUUGUCGCUCUUUUGAAGAUAUGGGUUAUAAUUAUUGGAGAAGCACAUUCACAUGCAGUUUGACUCUUCUCCACAUUGGAGUAAUUACCGUGCAUUGUAGCUGGACUCAAGGGAUUUUGAAUGUAGUAAUGAAUUGCUGUGAACCUUCCAAGAAAUACCGAACCAUAUGUCUCGGGAAAUGGGUUGGAGGCUGCAGCUAUAGAUAAGAACGUGGGAAGGGAAUGCUAGUACUUCUAAAGCCAACUGUGUAAGGUUAUGAAUUGAAAUUCAUUGCUAAUGUGGAUGAAGCUGGAAUGUAUUUUUCCCAUGAUGUUUAGCGUGGAAUUUGUCAUAGUAG